rnacentral:lncRNA from 1 species
UUUUCAGCAUGGGGUCUGUUCCACUGCUGAUACUGUUAUAGUCUUCGAUCAGCUAGUAGUCAGAAGUCCUGUACUUACAAAUUGUUACAUGAUGAAUAUCUACUUUCCUUACUUUGUCUUUUAUGAAUAAUACAACGUAGUACUACUUACUCACUUCGACAAAGUUGACCUCAGUUCAUGUAAGCUACAGUUGUAUGUCUCAUUGGGUCAACUACUUCGUUACAUAUUUAAGUGUAAAUACA